UGUUAUUGUACAUAGUCAAGAGGAAAAGGAUAUGAUCAAUGGUUACAGCUGGGGUAAGCAAGAUGAGAGUGGAUACUGGAUUGGCCUGAGAGUUGAAAAUGGGAGAUGGAAGUGGAUUGAUGGAAGUGAUCUGGCUGUAGACUUCUGGAUAGGACCUCCCUUUGUCGGUCAGUGUGCAGUUUCUGUCCAGGGCGUAGGAUGGAGAUCAGUG